CACCACCAACUAGAGUACCAUAAAAAGCAUUGCUUGGAUUCUUUUUUAUUUGAUAUAAUAAUAAUUUUUCCCUCUUACCUUUUUCUAAAAAAUCAAAUUAGCCCUUUAUUCUUUUUCUAUCUCUUUUAGUUAAACUGAUCUGUUGUCGACAGAAAUACUAAUGGAGCCAUUAAAAAUCUGAUGUGGUAUCUAUGUGGAUAUUUUUUUAACACAAUAAAUCUAUGUGGCUUUUAUGUUUUUAUUUUUUAUCUCUUUUAUAUUUAUUUUUCUAUCUUCUUUUCUCUUUUUUUUUUCUGCAUAGAAACCCUAGCCACCUAUGUUGUCGCAAUUGCUUCUCCAGUGCUGCGGUCGCCGCUUUUCCAGUGCCAUCACCUAUCCUUUUCUCGACAACAGCACAUUUAGUGACCUUGGCACCGUUGGAUCAUUCUUCUCAACGCUCUUGAUCCCACCAACAGCCACGGUCUGGGUUUUGCAUUGGUAGAUUGUUUCAGUUUCAAUUUGUAACAUAUACAUAAUACAUGGUUUUCAUUUCUAGCCAAGUAAAUUAAGGAACCAUUGGGUUUUGUAUAUUGUCUCAUGAUUGCUAUUUAAACAAGAGUCAUCUUCAAAUUAAA